AGUGGCCAUACCGUGCUACAGACCUCUUAUCGGUUCUCGUUAGAUCACCGAAGUCAAGCAUCAUUGGGCGCGGUCCGGUACUUGGGUGGGUGACCACCUGGGAGCACCGCGUGCCGUU